ensembl:lncRNA
CAUCACUAAAUCAUGGCCAUGAGUCAUAUUUAGAGCAGGGCUUCAUCUACCCUUGCAGGUUCCAGAGUCUCCACUUCUAUUUCUUUCCCAUGUGCAAAAACCUUCCUUUGGGGUCUGACAGUCUCCUCAGUUGAGCAGGGAGUCAAGGGAGUUUAUGUUUGUGAAGAAACAAAAAUUAGUAACAGGCUACAGAUUAAUUUAAUAAUCUAGAAACAGAUGCCCAUGAGGAUGUGUACUAUAGUAGAGGAAACAGCAACUUCUAUGAUGCCUGUCUUUCUCCCAGGAAAAAUCACCUCUGUCUUGCUUCUGUACAGCUUUGCCAGCUUGUUUUAAGAUGAAAAUUGAGAGGAUGGAGGCAGAGAGACACAGAGAUGGAGAGAGAUGGAAGGAAAGAGUGCUGCUGCUAUCGGAGCCUUCUCUGCAUUUCCCCUUCUUCGAGAGAUUAUCCUUGCAGAGCCCUGCAGGAUCCUGGGGACUAGGGACAGGAAGGGACUCUGAAACUCUGCCUGAAAUAGAAAACAGCACAAGAGGCUGCUAUUCCACAAAGUCCCAGGAAGAGUGGGAAAAAGAGAGGAAAAAAAACAUUAAUGUAGGAAGUAAAUCUGCUCAGCGUUUUAUCCCAACAUCCUGUCCUCCUGCUGCUUUUUAUAUGACCUUUUGCACUGCACAGAAUUCAUUACUAUUGUAAAAAACACGGUUUUGUUUCUUAGAAAAUUUCAAGAAAUGUGUGAUCUGUUUUAAAGUAGACAGGAUUCACAAGUGGCAAAAAUAUGUGUUCUUCCAAAUCCUUUUCCUUCAUUAUCAGCUCCAGAAGUUUGCUAAUUAGACCCACUAAACAAAAACACCUCAGCAAUAACACAGUGCAGAAGGAACGGAGAAAACUUCAUAAUUGCAAUUUUAUUUAUUAUUUCACUGCAGGACAGCACAGGAACCUUAACCAGGUCAAGACUUCAUUGUGUCAGGUGCUGUACACACAAAAAAAUAGCAGUUCCUGCUCCAGGAAACGUGAAAUUUUUGCAUGUAUUUAUAGCCAAGCUUGUGGCCCCAUGGUAACUCAUUUAGUGAUUACCUCCACAAAUGCUAGUGAAGGCACCCAGAAACAUAUUUUGCAGGGUACAAACAUCUGUGGUUUCCCUGAGGCUGAAGCCCAGUGUACUUUCCCUGCCACAGAAGGGUAAUAGGGCCUUAGAGUAAAUGGAGUGGAAUAAGGACCAAAACACUUUGUGUUCUUUAAAUGAAAGGCACUUUAUACACACACGUAUGUUUACUGAAAGGCCUUUCAAAGAGGCAUAAUUAUGCAGGCAUCUCUGUGUAAUUCGCCUGGGUCAAUGCUAAUGUUGGAAAGUACUUAUUCUGUGGGUCAGACGAAUUACUGCAGUGCUCAGCCCCUGGCCUAUGUGUAUGUAAUAAAUCACUCUGCAGAAGAACUCGACUAACCUGUAUCUGUCUUAGCUUUUUUAAUUGCAGACCACAAACACUGAUAGAACCUAAAAUGUUUGCUCAGUCUAGACUGAGUGGGGAAAUGGAAGCUCACGCUGCGUCUUCUCUUCAGGGAUUACCUUCCGCUCUUUCCAGGGAGAUGCAAAGUCUAUGCAUGACACCAGAAAUACCUAAUUGCAUACAAAAGCAACAAAUGCUAAUUGUCCCAAAUGCUUCUUUAAAAAUAAUUUAGGAAUAAAAUAGUCAGGUCUCUGCAUGUGCUUUUAGGCCCACAGGGAUUUGGAAGUCUGAAAAGUGCCAGGCUGACUGCCAGCCCACAGGUUGAAGCAGCAGGUGGGACAGCACUGCAGCCUCUCCUGUCUCUUCCUACAGAGGACAUGAUCCUCUGCUGGAUGAAUUGGGCCACAAAGCUGCAGAGGAUGCCAUUAGAGACAUGUCAAGCGGGGCCCAAUGGCGUGUUAGCCCCAGCAUCCCUUCUUGUGCCCUAGCUUCUGCCAGGACAGCCGUGCAGGAAAGGCCACCUGGUCAUGCAUCAAAUCUGCAGCAUGAAUCCUCUGGUGAGGAUCACGUUGCUGCUGCAAGGUCUCUUCCUGCAGACAGCCAAAUGCAGCAAGAGGAGGGAUGUCAACCCACUCCUCCAGAAGCAAGGUGUCUGGGACCUGGGGCAAGUGGGGCUGCUUGGCUGCUGCUUUCCCCUCUCUCCAC